AAGCAUGUUGCCGAAGACAGUAGGUGCCGCAAGGCAUAACGUAUACGACCUACCGAGGACAGUCGAUCGUUUCUAAACGAUAUGAUUAUGAUUUUUUGAGCCUCUUUGUCUAGCGCAGAGAGGCUUUUGUUUUG
rnacentral:sRNA from 1 species